GCUCGCACAGCCCGGCCCCGCCGCUCCGCCCGAGCGCUCCCGGCUCCCGCCGCACCCCGGCGAGGGGACCGCGCUCCGCUGCCGGCGCCGCCGAUCCCGGCACGGAGCUCCGCUGAGCGUGACAGCCGUGCCUCCCGCACGGCAUCGCCGCGGCGUGCCUCACCUCCACCCCUUUAACUUUAUUUCGGGGUUUUGCGGGUUCCGCGGUUUCAUGACCACACGUACCCCGACACUGUAACACGACCUCCGUUCUGUACCACGGGCAGGUAACAGAGCUAAGCACGGGAGCGUGUUUAUUUCCCGCUGAAUGGAGCUACCGGCCAGCGGAGCGGGGACUCGAGUCCGUCUCCCGGUGAAAAUGGCCAAAAGACACUCGAACAAGCGAAGGGACGGAGAGAUAAAAUAGAAAACGUGUUAACAUAAGCAGAUAAAUGCCCGGCCGGACCUUUCCUCCUCUGCGAACACACGCGGCCGGGAGCGCUCACAUCCCAGCCGGUCACCGAGCACGGCCGCGGGGACACAGACCUGGGCACAGCUCUGGGAGGGAUUAAUUGCCCCUCACCUCCUCACACACUUUUUCAUGUUGCCACAUGCCCACACACUCCUGCCGCAGAAAUAAUACGUGUGGCUAAAGCCGCAGGUGCGGAGAUGGUUGGAAAGUUGUAAAAAGCACCUCGACUUGAGAGUGUCCUGCCUGGAAACCUGGCGUGCUCAGACCCCAGGGGCCAAGAGGGUUUUGCGACUCAAUUUCAAAGACAAGGCUGCAGCGUUCCCAUUGAUCCUCACGGAGCAAAAAAAAAUAACCUUUACCCGAAACAGUGACCAGGAGGGACUGGGAAGACAGAAAAUGGGGAAGGAAUCUUUCCUGGUUAAAAUGUGGGGAACUGCCUUAUGAUUUCCAAACAACCCAGAGCUGAGGAGGUGACCUUUCGGGGAGGGUAGCAGAAGGUGGGGGUUCAAAAUGCAGAAUAGCCACAGAUUGUUGCUGAUGUUGGAUUUCCUGAGGAAAAAAAAAUAAAAGACAAAACCCAAACCACAACACCAACCUUUCCUGUCUCGAAUCUGACAAAGUAAACAGGAUUAAUUCGCCAUAUGAAAAAACAUAAGCGCCGUCCUAACAAAUGCAGAAAUCAGAAGGGAAAGCGGUUUUAACAGGGCGCACAAUAUUAAUAGUUUGAACGUAUGAUCGUAAAAAUGAAAAACCAUUGAUAUACGCUUAAAAGCCGCCGUAUAAGCUGAUUGCUCAAGCAUUAAUGAAGAAUGCCCCAGAUUAACUAUUUGCUCUUCGAGGGAUGCAGCGAUAUAACUAUCUAUUAGCACCAUUAGAUGCUUUGCUAUUUAUUUGAAAACACCCCUGCGAGUGGGUUGAGACAGAAGAGAUGAAUGUAAAAAUGAACUGCAGCUAAUUUCGCUAAAUAAUCCUCGAAACCUGAGCGCUUCGCAAGGAAGCGGGAGAUUCUCCACCGUCCUUCUCCGAGGCUAAUGACAAUAGAAAUGCUCUGGUUUAAAAGUGAGACCGUGUUGGUUUUCCAAAUAAACAAACGCAUCCCUCCUGCCAUUUUACUGCAGAUGUAAAUUUAUUUUAAUGAGAGGGAGUGGAAGGAUUUAUUUUGCUAAAAUUGAGUUGGGGAUAGAGCCGGUGUAAAUCUUUAGGUUUCAAAAAGAGAGGAGGAAGGAGGGGGAAGCUGCUUUCCUGGCAGAAAGCUGCCUAACAGUCCUCUAAUUCUUUCUAGAUUAAAUCGCAAUAUGAAUACAGCAUCGAACAAAUACCGAGUUUCGCUCUGAACUCAGUGGAAAGCAGUUACGUCUAACAGAAUUCAAUGAAUUCCUCUUCUCCCUCAAUGUAGUAUGUGUGUGUUUUUCUCUUCCACCACACUGAAGUUCCAUGAAUAGGGAAAGUGGCUCCUAUUGUGUGCCUCUGAACUUCCAAGUCAAUGCAAUUUUUAACCACUGGCUUGUGGUACUUUGAAAAUCACCAGGGGCUGUCAGAGUUGGGUCCUCUGAAAAAUUUACAGUGCUAAAUCAGAGCAUAUGCUGUGAGAGAGGAAAAAAAAUUGCUUAAGAUUGGAGCAAGUACAGUAUCUGGCUGCCCCCUAGUGUAAGUCUCUUAUCUGCCUAAAAUUCAACUUUAAAAGAAAAGGAUCUCUUAAAGGGAAACGACUUUUGGCUCACGUAUGCAUACGAGAAUGAAACUUCUGUACAUUUUAAUCUGAUUAAUUCCUAAGGAUUUAAAAUUAAUUGGCUUGGGCACUCCUAGACCGGACUAUAAGAUUUCUGCAUCAGGGUUUCUGCGAGAGCUGUGCCGAAUAGGAUCCGAGCCUCGCUUGCUGUUGUCAGAGCAAAACACUUCUGCUGCCUAAAUCAGAUCCACGUCUUUUGCAAUAAUACUUAAAAAAAAAAAAAAAAAGGAUAAAUUAUUGCCUUAAAGCCUCAGCCGAACUGCCAACCACACCUUCGGAUGGUGAGUAUAUUCCAGCUUCUUUCCAUUGUACUUGCUUAGCCAGGGAAGGGACCGGAGGGGGAGAGGGGAUCUCGGUUCUCUACCUUCACCACCGACCCUUCUUUUUUUUUUUAAUUAUUUUUUUAAAUUUUUUUUUCCUCCUCCCCCCCAAAACAAACGCUGCACACAGAGACGCGAUCGCGGGGCAGUUGAACACCCAUCCCUUAAGUUCCGAGCCUCGUCCUGCCCUCGCAGCCUCCGGAGCGGCUCUCCCCGCUCCGCCCGAGCAGCCCCGGUACCGGGCAGCUCCCGGCCGCCGCUACCGGGGAAAUGACUCGGAGCGGCUCCGCCUCGGACCUGCCAACCCGCUCCGCUCCUUGGGUUUGUUGGCUUGUUUGUUUGUUUGCUGCUUUGCUUUAUUUAGCUAAAGGACGUGCUAACUGAUGGUGCUGCAAUUACACAUACUUGGGUCUGCCCCCCUCCCCUCUUCCCCUCCUUAGAGCAACCCACGUAACCUUAGAAACGAUCCUUUAAGACGCACGUUAGCUAACAUUUGCUUUUUUGGAUUUUUUGUUUUCCUUAAAAGAGAAACAUAAGAAUCACAACACAUUGCCCGAAAAAAGUGUCAAAGAAGAAGAAAAAAAACUAUAAGUAAACAUACCAAAACCAUAUUUGCCUUGUUCAAGGUCCCAAAUCGCUUGCAUCUUCCUUUUUCUACCUCUCCUUUAGUUUGGCAGGUGAAACAAACAAAUAAAAAAAAAAAAUCAGACCGCUGUUUGCCCCCCAGAAAGAUGUGCGUUGGGUAAUUAAAGAGAAGUCUCCUUCUUGGUGUUUAUCUAAGCGAUUGUGCAAACUGAUUAAAAAAAAAAAAAAAAGAGAGAGAGAGAAAAAAAAAAGUAAAGUUACAGCCUUCAGGGGGGGAAAAAAAGGAAGCAAGGUGAAGGGAAUAGAUUUCCCACAACCUAAAGGGAAGUGCUUUCGAUGUAUUAUUAGCGAUCAGCCUUGGGAGAGAGAGGAAAAAAAAAAACACCCUGAACACACUCUAACUUUACACAGACAAGAUUUCAGGGGGGGCUUUGUACACAGCUGCUUAGGAAUGUGCGCCUUGCCUUUAAGAAAAAAUCCCCAAGCCCAAGGUAGGAGAUGUCUUUGAGUGAUCCUUGUCUCAUUUCAUUCCUUAGAAGGAAGAGCGUCUCGCUACACCUUGUUUGGAGCUGGAAAGGCGAGACUUAAAAAAAAAAAAAAAAAAAAAAAAAAAAGAGGGGAAAAAUAUUCACAACCCACCCUUCCAAUUGGGGAAAAAAAAAAAAAAAAAAAAAAAAAAAAAAAAAAAAAAAGAGGGAAAUCUCCUAAGUUAAUGACUGUUGGGGGUAGGAUGGAUGCGACGGAUUUCAGCCCCCCCCUCCCCCCCUUUCCCACCUCCCCCCUCCCCGGCAGGAAAAAAAAAAAAAACGAAAAGGGAAAAAAAAAAAAGCCAACCGCAAACAACUACAGGCUGGACUAUCAACACAUGCACCGAAGGGGAAAAAAUAUAUAGUGUCCUGUGUAGGGUCGGCAGGGAACGCAAGCACACGCUAAAGCAAGUUGGGAAAGAAUCCGAGCUAAUCAGCAAUCUCUUUCUCUCUCUCUCCUUCUCUCCCUCUCCCCCUCUCUCUCUCUCUCUCACUGCCCCUGAGAUCCCAGCUCGAAAGAGGUACUCCACAUUUUUUCAUUACCAAAAAUCCGUUGCAAUAAUCAUUUGUUGCUAAUUGAAACCCUUGGAGACAUUUUUCCCCACCCCCUUCACAAACAUGGCAACUUUUAGUCAUGGGAAGCACGUUUAGUUUUUAUUUUAUUAUAAAAAAAAAAAAAUACGGUUAGGAAAAAGGCUGAAUCUUUCAGCCACGAGAAAUAUCAGCGAGGCAGCCCCUUCCCCGGGAUGGGAGGGGGAGUGGGGGGAACGGGACCCCGGUACAGUGAGGGCUUGGGAAAAUUCGGAAUACAUUAUACCGCCUUUGGCAGGAGAAUACUCUCCAACUAAUGGAUUCCUGCUCCUUUUUGUGUGUGUGUGUGUAUCAGUGUGGGGGGUUUCUGGAAAGAGGGGUGGUGGUCGUGGUGGUGGGGAGCCGAGCUUUUAUUUUAAGGAACUGUUAGGGUAGGGAGUGUGUCAUACUUGACAAAUGGAACAAACGCUCUUCCAUUUCUUGCUUGUCCUUGCCUUAAAACAGGAAUUAAGUUAACCACAGUGCUGCAUGUUAAUUGCAUGUUUACUGGGCUAAUGAAAAUUACAAAAGGGUUUUGCCACCUCGAUCGGUGAUGAAAAAGUAUGAAGGCGAUUGUCAUUGCAGCCUUCGGGGAGGGCCCGGGGGUGGGGGGGAAGGACCGGCCACGAACAAUAUUGAUCAGAAGAAGGAUAAAUCUUUUAACUGCUUGUUAAUACCAUAAAUAUGGUACACACAAGUUUCCACUCUUGUUAAGUCUAAUCAGUACAUGGAAGAUGGAGACAUAGCCCACUUGAAUGAAUUUUUAUUAUUGCCAGAGGGGUGCUUGCAUCUGUGGGCUCCCUCCUCUCCUCAAUUUGAGCAGCCCCCUGCCCCCCCCUCCCAAAAUCCCCCCUUGCAGAGGAGGAUCGUGAAGGUGUGCAGGAAGCACAGGAGACAAACCCAAGCUUGCUGUCCUUUCUUCAUUUUCCCAAAUGCUCCUUUUUAUUUAUUUAUAUAUAUAUUUUUUUAAAUCAAGAUGAACGGGUCAUGGCGGGGAAAGCCUAAAGGAGGGACACCCCUGCCCGACCCCCACCUCGCCCCCUCUUUUAUUCUUGAGAUCUCUGGAUGAAAAGCUGACCCAGUAAUUCAGUUUGAUGAUAACCAUUUUCAUGCUUGAAAACAAUCUGCCAAAUUAAACCUAAAAGGAAAGAGCAGUGGGAAAGGUAGUGAGAGCAGGGCAUUUUGAAAUCCCCCCCACCUCUCCGAAAGGGAUUAUUUGGCCAAAGGAGGAGGGAAAGGCAAUUAAAUAGACUAAAGAUGAUUUAAAUCCCAACCAAAAAUAAUUCCAGGGAGAAGUUUGCCCCCUCCGGUGUUGCCCAGCCCUGGAUUUGAAAACUUUGGCCCAACUUGUGGCAAUAGCUACAACUUUGCUCCGCAGGGGUCAGAGGUGAGGGCUAUUUUAACCCUAAAAGCCUGCGAGUGACCAAGGUUGCGGCUGGGCUCGCAGCACUAAUAGCCAUAAUUACCUCCUCCCCUUCCAGGGACAUUCCUCGCAGCAGCAGUGUUAGACGCCGAAUUGAAGAAAAUCCUGGAGUUGAACAUAUCUUCGGGGGUAAAUAACAGCAAUAUGAAGGAAUUUCAGAGCUCUCCCUUUAGCUUGGGGGGAUUGAAGCUUUUUUCCUUUUUUUUUUUUCUCCCCCCCUCUUUUUUUCCUUUUUUCCUCCUCUCCCCCCCACUCUCCCCCCCUCCUUGCCAGCAUUCCCAAGGCGCUGGGUCUUUGUCUUAGAAGGAAUGGAGUGUCUGAAUGGUGUGAAAGGGACAGAGAGGGUUGCUUCAAAUCGAUUUUACUUGUCCUCUCUGUCUUUUCGGAUCAACGCCCUUCAAUGGACACAUAGGUGCUCUUUCAACCAAAAACUUGUGCAACAUUUUCUGCCUGUAUUGGUGCUAAAUACAAUAAAUGCUGGGCAGAUUUUUUUUUUCUUUCUUUCCAAAGCAGAAAGCACCCUAAUUAAAUUGUUUUAUAUGGACAGUCAAGACAGACCAAUUAAGUAUGCAUUAGUAUAAAGAUAUAUUCGAGAGAUAAGCGCUCUAUAGGAGCCCUGUCUAGGCAAGGUGUGGAAAGUGUCCUCUCGAAGAGAGGCUGUGAACAGGGUUUCAUAUGGAUUUUUCCCCUCCAUUGCCUCCUAUACUCGAGUAACGGGCUGAAUAAGUUAGAGAAAAGCCAUUAGUGAAAGUGGUUUCUAAACAAAGUUAACAGGUGGAUGUAGCUGGUUUUACAUUUGAAUAACAGUCGCACAUCUGUAAGACACAGCCCUGGAUUUCUGCAGCGCCUGUGCAGGCAAUGUCCAUUUGCAGAGAUAAACACCUUCCACCUAGAGCUGAGGUGCAGAUGCACAGGCACGGCAAUAAAAGAAAUAUCUGGGCACCUCUGUGGGCUGCAGGACACGCUGCGAGUGGGCAGGCAGGUUCGGUGCAGAUAUCCCUGCGUGGGGCACCCAGCCUGCAUCACACAGGCACCCACACAGCGGGCACCGCUGGCCCGGGCAUCUCAGCGGGCACAGCACCGUCCUGGGCUGAUUCCGAGGGGAGGCAUUGGCUUUCCUAGGAGUGAAACAGCAGAUCAGGAUAUAAAACACACACAUACACACGCGAACUUCUCUUGCUGCCCAUUUUAUCACUCUGGGAAAUCUCUCGUUACGGUUAACCACAGGAAACGGGCUUGAAGCUCUUCUCCAUUUCCAUUAUUAUUACUAUUAUUUUUCUUCACUGCAGCUUUUCCAUGUCGUGCAAAAAACCACUCCAAACAAAAAAAAAAAAACAAACAAAAAAACCCAGACAAACAAACAAAAAACCCACUGAAUCCCCAUCCGCCCUGCCUCAGCCUGGUCCUGGGGCAGGCAGAGCCGCGGGAUGCGGUGAGGAGGAGGAGGCAGGCGGGCUGGAAGUGGCUGGGUACCCUCCAUCCCUGGGUACCCUCCAUCCCUGGGCACAUCGCUGGCACCCUCCGAGGCUGAGCUGUGGCACCGAGCCCUGCGGCCGGAGAUGCUGCAGGGUGCGAGAGGGAAUCGCCCUUCAGCCGUGACAGCGCAGAGAGCGGCCGGGCUUGUGCUGCAGGGCUCGGGCAAAUCGAGGGAUUCGGGGAUGCAGAGCCAGAAUUCGGGGAUGCAGAGCCAGAAUUCGGGGGCUGCCCGCUUUAAUCCCCAUUUUCCAGCAGCGCCCUGCGUGUGUCAGCCCAUCCCAGGGAUGUGGGAGACGGGGGUGAAUAAGCCAUUCCUUGCUUAGGUGCUUUAAUGGCACGGUAAACAGGUUAGAAACAGAGGUUUUUAAAGAUUCAGGUUUUCUUUAUUGGUCACCUUCGAGGAUAAAUCAUAACAGACGGGAUUGGGGGCAAAGAAUUCAUCUAAAGGAGAUCUCAGCAAGUCUCUACCCGGACAAUAGUCCACCUCCUGUUGGGUUGCGUAUUGAUCAGCAGAGGAGCUGAGGAUGUCGCCACACUAAAUAUUUACUGAUCACACACAAAUAGCCGCGACUUGAACGAUUUUCUCCUGUGAGGAGAGCAGAGAGAGAAGGGUAAAUCAUUUUAUUAGUGUGUAUAAAGCAAAGAGCACACUCUGGCUUGGAGUGUUUUAAAAUGUGUCUUCAGCUGGAUGAAAAGAGUUAGGGAAAUCGAUAUGGAGUGAUUAGACGAACCAGUCGUGUCAAAGAGAGAGGCUGUGAAUUUCAUGGAUUUGGUUAUACCGGGAGGGGGAAAAUAUACCGAGAGAUUAAAGGGAGGAACCCAUUGUAGCAGAGCCAAUGAAAAAAUAAUAUCUAAUCAGAGUCGGCAAAGGUAGGGACGGGAUAAGACCCACAUUUCUAAAGAAUCACAUCAGCUGGAGAGGGAUCAGGGACACAGAUGAAAGAGGCAAAUGGGGGGAGAGCUGGAGAGUAGGAGCCUAGAAAUGCUACAGAGCAAAUCCAGGAGAGGCAGAGAAAAGUCGCCUCUGUGGAGCAAAGCUGAGAUACCACGAAAAUGGGGACAAAAGGCUCAGGAGCGAGGGAGAGGGCUGGAGGGACCGGGGGAUCCCCAGCCCCUGUACCCAGCAGGCAGAGAGGGUCUGACAGCACAUCCAGCUCUCAUCCGAGGCUUUCAAUCCUACUCCUGCAAUCCUACAACUUUGUCCUCCCCUCUCCUUCCCGCCCCCCUCCCUCCCCACAAGCAAAUGUGGUGAGUAAAAUGGAUUUUAGCGUUUAACCACCUCAUUUUAUCCACGUAAUGACAAGGCUCGUAAUAUGUAAUCUGCAGAUUACUGCCAUUCGAGGGUGACCACAAGUGGCAUAAAAAAAAAAAAUUAAAAAAAAAAAAAAAUUCAGCAUUUCUGCAAAUGACAAAAUGGCCAAAACCAGCCCUUGCUUUAAGUAUUGAAGUUGGGGAGUUGCUGCUGCAGGAUUUUAUCGGUCGUAGGGAGCAAUUUAGCCGUGGCUCAGGUACAGCCCUGGGGUGUCUCGGCGGAUUAAAGAAAACUUUGCUGGAGACAAGCAAAUAUCUGAGUGCCAAAGGGCAGAGAGCUGGGAGUAGGGCAGGGCUCUGCCAUGCGACGUUGAAAUAUGUUCUGUGGGGAUGCUCGAGAUUAUGAUUUUUAUUUUUUUUUGCCUCGAAUCCGUGAUGUUUGGCCCGUGUGCACACGCUACCUUCUCUCCGCGUAUUUUUCUUUAGCAGAAAAUAGGAUGCGACUGCAGAGAACUAAGUCAAAGCAGCGAGAGAAAGUUUGAACCGCACUUUAAAUGAUGCUGGGAGGGAGGAAAGGCAUUUCAAGCUAGAAACCGAGGAGUAAAACUGAUGCGAAAACAGCUUUUCACUUCUCCUCCAAGUGCUAAUUUUGCUACUGUAAACAAACACUGAAGUUAGAAACAGCUGCAAAUAGCCUGCCGGGCACCCAGGGCUCAGGGGCUGGAGGGGGUUGACUUUUGUUCGUCUCUCGGGCUGAAUUUUCCCUCAGCUUUGCUUUAUUUAUUUUUUUUUUUUUUCUUCCUAACCCGAAAUCAGGGGCUGAUGCUGAUUUCAGUUGUGGAGAAGGGACAAAAAGUAUAGAAAAGUAUAGGCAGGCAGGGAGCGUUUGAUGUGAGCCUGUGGAGAGCAGCAGCUCGGCUGGAUCUCGAAUGCAACAGGAAACCUGGGGACAGACUCAGCCUAAUUAACAGUUUUCCAUUGCUGAAGCGAUUUUUAAGAAUCCCAGUGGAUUAGCCCAAUAUGUUCAGGUGUGAGGCUACGAGGGCCUAUAACUCCUUUCACUAUAAUCUUAUAACCUCCUUACCUAAUUCCUUAGAUUGCAGAUAGGAAGAGUCUGACCCUGGAGGUCGGAAAGAGCUGGGUUUCAUUAACCCUUCCCUCCCCGGCGCCGCUCCAAGGUUAACUGCGCCGGGCUGUGCGCUCGGGGAGCGAGGGAGGGCGGCCGGGAGAAAGGGAUUUGCAAAAGGAUCCCUGCUCCCUUCUUUCCCUCCCUUCAGCCAAAAAAAAUAUGGCAAUAGGGAACUUUUCUCUUUCUCAUGCAUCACGGAUGUUUGUGAGGCAAUUCAUCCCCUUCGCAUUAUUUCAUUAUUGUUUAUUAUUUUAAAUUUUUUUUCCCCCCCAAACGUGGAGGAAAUGAAACGUUCUAGAACCAUCAGCAAAAAGCAAAGCAAUCUCCAUAUUUAGGACCAGCACCAAUCACUUCAGUUUCUUGUCCAUAAUAGAGCUGUAAUCUUUAAAUUAAAAAAAAAAAAAAAAAAUCUAGAAAUCUUCUCAGACUGUAUUUGCCUGGGAACACACCUGGUUUAUAUUUUAAUAGGUAGUUACAUUGUAUUGAUUCAGGGUACAUAAUUGAUGUUGAAAGUUAAUAACUCUCAAAUUAUAUCUAUCUGCCUACAUACAUAAUUGCAUACACAGUGUAACACUGGAGGAAUUUGCAUUUUGCAGCACAUUCUUUGUUCUUAAAUCUUUUAACACACAGAGUUGUUCCUUUGAAGAAAAUGUUAUUGAACCACAUGUUUAAGGAAAAGAUGCUUCUAAACUAUAUGUUUAAGCAAUGAAAUUGUUGAGUGAAAUACAGAUUUCUUUGUAUCUCACACAAACCUUGCCACACGCCAAUCUUAACCUACACAUCGAACUGCCUUUUUUCUCCUUUUUUUUUUUUUUCCCUCCCAGUUAGAAGGCAGAAAUAUGUGAACUGCUGAGAGAGGUGGGUACUUUUUGGCUUCUCCGGACCUUGUCUGGGUUUAAUCACAGGCUUUGGGACAAAAUGUGCAUUAUUAAGAAGUAUAAAUAUUUUCAGAAGCAAUCAAAGGGCUGAAAGAUUGAUUCGGCAUGUAGAUUGGAUUUAAUUCGAAGCAGCUUUGUUCUAAUGAGGACUACUGGGAUACAAAGACGGCAGCCGCUUAUGGCCACCAGUUGGGAACUUCGACUCGCUGCAGCAACCUGUCAAGAAUUCCAAGGAACUGCCAGGCGUGAUGGGACCUUUUUGCGUAGGGAGGUGUUUAUCCAUAAGGAGAGUGACAGCUCUGUGUGGGCUUGGAACCUCCUGUCCUCGUUGGGUGUCCCAGCAGAACUGCUGGACCUGUCCUGUCUCCCGCCUGCAACGUCCAACAAAACAUUCUUGGGAUGAUGCUGAACCAAAGGGGACCCUUGGCUGCUUUCCCCUGAGACUUAAAAAGCCCCAACAGUGAGAUGGUAAAACUGCCUGCAGGGUACGUUUGCUGAAGCCUGUUAAUUCCUCCUGAGGUCAGCGGGUACCGGGCUGGGCAGCACAGCCUCUCCUGGCCGGGCACGGCGGUCGCUCGUGUGUGCUCCAGCUGCUUCCCGAGGGACAGGGACAGUCGUGAAGAACGUGGGAUUUCCCACAGGAAUUUGGAAGAUGCCCAUGUCUAAGACAAUGGUGAGGAUCGGGCCAAAAUCCAGAUCCAGCCUUGAUUCCUUCAUCCAAGUAACCCCGUGCUGACCCACGGCUGCUGAUGGGUCGCAGCGACGUGGACCUUCCUCCCUCCUCGCUGCCCUGCAUCAGAUCACCAGGAGGAACUGAGAGCACUGGAUGAACCAUCAGAAGACCGUGAUUGGAAAGUGUGGGGACCAAGCACCCAGGGAAUUGGCUGAUGCAGCUGCUUCCCUGGCCCUGGGCUGUGGUCAGCCCUUGCUCAUGGCACAAGCCACCAGAGAUGGGGACUGUUUCUGCCUUGGCUACUCCUCAUCACUGCUUUGAGCUGCACAAAGCCCUGAGAACCAAGGCAACACGAGUGCACCCCCAGGGAUUUGCUCCUCUCAUGGUCUUCACCUGAAGCACAGCACAAAGUUCCACCCUUUGCUUCUGCAGAUCUACAUGGAGAUGCUGAUAAUCUGCCAUUUAGUCCAGAGACCGGACAGAAAUAAAUCACCAGAUAAAAUACAAUAUUCCUAGUGAAAUCCUUUAUGGAAUGUGUUCUUGCCCCAAACCCCUCCUGGAAUAGGCACAGAAAUGCUCCCUGAGACCUGGCAGCCCUUCGAAGUGAGCAUAUGGUCUGCUCAGCUCUCGCAGUUCUGGUGCACGGUGAGUAAACACGCUGAACUGUCAGAGCAAACAGGGGGCUCUAUAAUAGCACGAAAUUCUGUGCCUGCUUCAAACUCCAUCACUACUCCAGAAAUGGAUUUCCCUUCUCUGCUGGAGCGUGCACUGUUUGCAGGAGGGGCAGGAAAAAAAGUGAGAGAGUCUCCUUGGAUGGUGUCUGUAACCAUCUCCCAUAAAGCUGGAAAUGCUGUGGAAGGGUCUUGGUGUGUCGAAAGUUGCAUUUUCUGGUGAUGCUACAUCACCUUCUCCAUUAUUUUAAAAUGUCCUCUGAUGCAUUGUAACUUUCUCAGUAAUUGGAAUAGAAAGAGGGGCCUGAAGGUAAAAAUCCCGAUGUUAAUCAAGGCUGGCAAAGGGCAGAACAUUAGCUGCAGUAAUUGUUUUUCUGAGGGAGUCAACAAAGCCGGGCUCGUCCGCGCUACCAAACAGAUCCGGUCCUGCCUCUGUGCUCCUCACACUGGCAGAACAUUGCCCUGAAAUCACUGGAGCAGGGAUCGGGCCAGGAAUGAGCAGCUAAGUUGCAAGGCAAAUUAAUUCCUGCCAAAAAAGUUCAGCUAUGCUCAGAAGUAUGUAAAGUGUCUGAUUUGAGAAGUGUCAAGUAGCAUUUGUGACCAAUUAUCCAAGAUGAAGGGGGCAGAGCUAUGUUUACAUGCACUAAUCUUCAGCCAAAGUUUGAAAACUCUAAUUCAUGGACACGCAUCAAAUUUCUUUUCCCAGCCUGGCAUUUGCCUGUACGCACGCAUGCACAUUGCUCGGGGAUGACAGGAAAACAUGAUUAUGACUUGCAAAUAAUACAAAUAAGAAAAAAAAUAAAAGCAAGAAGAGCUGCCACGCAGCAGCAGCCUGGUAAUUAAACCUAUACUGUGAUAUGCAAAAAGAAUCAUGGACUACUGUAUGAGUAAAAUAGCUUUAUCAGCUGUGCUGAAAUAUGACAUGUGCUGUGUCUGUAUUGUUAUUUUUCCACAACCUGUGAAGCCCUAGGAAAUGAUCUACACAAAAGAACAAGAAGUAAAACUGCCUCUGCCAUCUUCUGUUUAAUUAACAUAGGUAUACCAAUUUAAUGCAAUUAAUCAAGAUAGGAGGGAUUAAACAGUAACUCAGCUGACAGAGUUAGCAUUGCAGUGGCAUAAGAAGGGCUGCAAAAUGAGAGUGGUGACCGUGAGGAAGAGCAAGCUGGCUGCACUUUUGGGAGGUUUAUGCAGAUGUAUUGAAAUUUAGGGGCAGCUGAUUUUUCAUGUGGCCAAGUGUUUAUCUGCCCCUGCCCUUUCCUUUACCCUCUCAGACCUUCCAGGGUAAUCCCCAGAGUGGCAACAACUUUUAAAGCGAUUCCUCUUUCUUCUAACAGAUUCCUGAUGCUAAAGGUCUGACCUUAAAAUGAGCAGUGCAUAGGGCAAGACUGGGUACUGCAGUGAGCUUCUGGCCUUCAACCCUGCCAAAUACAGCUAUUUUGGUAACCAGAACAGUAUAUUCGUGAUGGGUGAGGGAACAGAGCCUUUCAGUGCAGGCUUCUCAGCAUAUUAACUCUGUCAGUGCUGGAUUCUGGGUCCCCUUGAAGGUUGCCUGUGCCUAUUAAGGACCAUAAAUGCAGUUUUGCAGAAGUCUGCAGCAUUCUGUGACUUCAUGGUUGUGCUUUAGUGCCUGUUGCACCCCAAAACUGGACUGAAUCCUGUGGAUUUCCAUGUGGGUCUGGGAAGGAUUGUAAUCACAUACAGCUGAGAGUAGCUCAGACUUGGAUUUCUUGUUGGCAGGAGAGGCACAGCCUGGUUUGCCACAAUGCAACUGUCCUCAUUAAUGUUCUUCAAGGCCUGAUGUACUGGGACCGCCAUGGUUGGGUCAGAAGAUGGCUGAGUUUUCCAGGCUCAUUCUCUUGUCUUCAGAAUGUUAAAUUGGGUGAUAAUGAGUAGUAACUGUGUCCUUUUUUUAUGGUGAAGUUGACACUUGCCUUCUAGUAAACAGACACAGAGAUGACCCUCCUCAUUUCGCACAGGUCACCAAACAGCCCUGGAAUGGUAGGGGUUAUUGGCCAUUUACCAAACUCUGUUUGACUUGGGUUCAUGGGUGAGAGAUGAAAGGCUCUAUAUUGCAUUACCAAUCCCUGGGGCCAGCCAUUCUCCCUAAAGAAGCAUUUCAUUUAGCAAGGCAACUGCUGGCCCACGGGAAUCGGAGACUUGGGAAAAAGAGGACACAGUUUCAAUUGCAAAUGUUUCCUUAGGGCAGAUGUCUUAAAGCCACACAGAAACUCACCGCUUCAGUGUCACAAUAGUUGCUCCAGGACACUUAAUGACCAGCAGAUUUUGCCCUUUAAUUAAUCUCCCCUUUUCCCCAAGAAAACAUCCGUUAGGUUCCUUGUGGUGUUUCUGCCUCUGCCCUGCUCUUUCGUCCAUCUCCCUGGGGCAAGACCAUUGCAGCAUUUGUGAAAUGUUACCUUUUCUAAGAGCUUCAAAAUUGAAACAGAUGAAGCAAGGAGCCCUGGUAACAUGCUUAGAGGUGUUGGGCUCUUGGGAGGAGAAAUGAGUACUUUUGAAGUGUCAAAUAUUUUCCUUACCCUAGAGCAAAGAUGCUGACUGAUCUUUUUGGUUAUAGUAGAGUGGUCAUUGCUAUUGGGGUAGUCCAAGUGCUGACUUUUUACAGAUCAUGGAUGCAGUGAUUGAUGGCUACAGGAAGAAGAAUCUUUGAUUCAGACCAAGAAUUCAACCCAGACUUGUCCUGAUUUUCCUAUGAUCUGAAAAUCCAGUGUUGUUCCAAAUUCAUUAUCACUGAUUAAAAUCCUCUUUCAGUUUCCUCUCUUUCUGUUUUGAUGUGAGUCAUGAGACAUCCAGAAGUUGCAUUUGUUGUUUGAUAGUUUUACAUCAUGGUUGUAAUAGUGCAUCUGCCAAAUCAGCAGGUUCUUUUCUGUAUUUGUUUAUUUGUUUACUACUCCAUUUCCAGCAAGUUCUUGUUACCCAAAUCCUGCUGACAACAGAGGAAGAGGCACAAGUCAGCUCAGAAAAUGAACAACUAGAAGGUAAGUGAAAAGAAUAGUAAACACAGGCCAUUCAUGUAACAGGACCCAAUUCAUUUUUGUGCCAGGGAGAUUUUUUAAAUGGGACUUCUCCCAGUGGAGAGCUCACAAUGCUCAAGGCCUGUUUCACUAUAAAAACAAUACAUAAUUAUUCUGGGCUUAUUAUUAUUUUUUAUCUCUCUUUUUCCAGUUGCAGGGAUGAGAUCAGGACCCAGUUUAUUGCUGUGCAGACUGUGCAGCACACGGGGCUGCAGGACCCUGUGGAGACAGACUCAGUGAUACUGAACCAUCCUGGUUCCUGCUUUCAGGCUGGGGACACAAGUUGGACUUGGAAGAAGAAACUUCCAUGCAGAGAUGUGACUGCAGUGUGAACAUUGUGCCAGGGUAAGAGAAGUUUUGUUUAAUUUGGGGAGUAUACAAUAUGUAAAGUCCUUACAAAGUCUGUUGUUCAUCCCAGCCUAGUUAAACUGCAUUUGACCACUACUUAUUCAAUCCAGUAAAGUGUAUCUGCUCUAUUUAGAUACUAAGAUUAUUUUGUCAGUUCAGCCCUUUAGGAUUUAGCAUUUAAUUCAUAAAGGAUUCUAUAACACAUGCCCAGUUGAGCUCUCUCUCUAAUUCCUGAUGAUUUGGAUGAUUUUCUCUAGCCAAUUUAUAUUUUAAUUAGUUGUAACACUUCUUUACUUUCUAUUUUGAACAGCUGAGACUUAAAAAUUAAAAAGCUAAAAAAUAACUCUAAAAGUCUGAAUGGAUACUCAUUAUAGUUUUCUGUUCAGUACUUGCAUGUCCUGGAUGUCCUGGGUUAUCUUAGGUGACAUUUUCAUGUUGACUGCUCUGUGUUAGUCCUGCUCAGACAGAAGGCAGGAUCAUGUAUUAUAGGUUUCUUUACAGAUGAAACCUACAGAUUGUUCUAAAAUCCAGUAACAACUCAAUACCAGCAACUUUCACACCCCUCUGUGCUCCUACCAUUGCUUUGAACCAAUUUAUUUAUUCAUUUGGGCUUUAAGUAGUCAUAUGCAUUCCUUCUUGCUGCAGCAGCAGGGGUACAGGAAGGGGUGUUUGAAACCACGCAGUCAUUUCCACCCUGGAUUUCAGGAGGAGUUAUUCUUGUCUCAGAGAUGACGCAUUCAAAUAUCCCUCUAUGGAUUCCAGGUGAGUUAGUCACAUUUAGAUGCUUCCAAGUAAUACACAGAAAGGUGCUGAGAAAAUGAUGAGUCUCUGCCUAGUCACAAAAAGAAAAAAGCUCAGAAAAGUAGAUCUGAGCAAAUUAUAUGUAGUAGCCCUCAAAAUAUUCUAAAAACACCUGGGGCCAAGGGGCUUUUACCUUAAAAACAGUAGGGAUGCACAGUAUUUACUUCACUGACUGACCCAUCAGCUGCUCUCUGUCCCCAGAAACAGUUCAGGAAAUAACUGGAAGUAUCUGAAGACAUAAAAAGGAUAAUUAAGUUUCAUUGUGGAAAUAAGAGGGUAAUCUGUCCAGACAAAUCUAGGACCUAGUACUGCAAGCUGUAGUAUCUGAAUAUAAAAAAUGAGUAAUUUUGAAAAAAGAUGUCUAUCAGGACUGUAAAUUCAGAGAGUAAAAAAGUAGCUUUGCUUAAUAGACCAUCUCUCUCUCCAUCUCCCUCUAACUCAUUUUCUUAUUCUCUUUCUUCCUUCUAUGUUAUUGCAAAAAAAAAAAAAAAAAAGUGUGCAAAAUCUGAUACUGAGAAUGCUUUAGCUUCAUUUCCAUCUUCUAUUCUCCAAAUGUUUUGUUCCACUGGGAAGAUUUCCCCUGGGAGAUAACCCCAGCCAUGACUGCAUGAGGCUUGUGGGGUGGCUGAUUUGCAAAGGAACAGCUGUAUUUUGAGGUGGCUCAGAGGCAGCCAGGUCCCCACUCUUCUGAGGCUCUUAAAAAUAUUUGUGAGCUGGCAUGAGAAAUCACUGGGGAGCCAGAGCAGACCACAAGUGCUUAGGACAGUGUUUUCUCUGCACCUUUUCUUGCUGAGCAGAACUGCAGCACUAUAAACAAAUGUGAGUUUUGCCUCAUUCUUAGGUCCUGUGAGUUAUGAAAGCCCACUCCAGAUGUAAUGAAUGUAUAGAUCAUUUUGACCAGAUCAUAAUCUAUUAGUAAAUAAUGCUCUCUGAAUGUAUAGGUGAAAUAAAGAACUUGCUACUAUUGCUGUAUUGGUAUCAAGGUUUACUGUAGAGGCCAACACAAUCCUGAGGCUUUGUGCUACUGACAUUUAAAUACAAUGCAGAAUUAACUACAGGGUUUGGUUAGUAAAUUCCCUUCUGGAUUCGGAUAUUGAGGAUUUGCACUGCUGGAAACAGAACCAAAACUAUAGAAGGCUUACCUGUGCCUUGGCUUCAGCUCAAUGACACCCUCACUCCUAUUUAUAGAAUUUUUCCACUAGGUUCUUAAUUGUGGUGGUGAUAUUAAUAAGCAAAUCACACAAUACUUUUCAGAAUGAGUAGAGACUGAUAGAGCAAACCCCUCUAUCACCUAUGAAUUUUCUUUGCUAUCCCUGGAGGAAGCCCAAGGGUACCAGACUAAGACCUAAGGCAAAUUGUCAGCACAGUCUAUAGGCCAUGGGAAGGUUAGGUUUAAAGAAGAUGUCACUUUAGGGACAUCUGUGUGACACAUGCUGCAGUGCCCAGACAUUGGAGACUAUGUUUUUACUCUAAAUCUAGAGAGGAAGUCAAUAGGAAAAAAAAAGGGAAAGAAGCACGGGGGAAUAAAAGUACUUUUGAAAGAGAAGAAAUCUACAUUUCAAUGAAAAUCCUUUCAAGGCAUUUCAAAUAAGAGUCUGAGAGAAAUAAUUACAAAGUUUGGAGAGAAAGAACGUUAGCUUUGAUAUCUUUUUCUUCUAUGAAGCAAUUAAAAUAAGCAAUUUUUCAAAUACUAAGCAGAAAAUUACUAAUGGCUGAACCCAAAAGCUUUCAUUUCCUUCUUGGGGCCUUUAUUCUUCUAAAAAAAGACAAAAAAAAAGUGAAGGUGGUUUUCCAGAUAGAUUAAUGCAUAAAGCAGUCGCUAGUUGGAUGUCAUAAAAACUACAGCAGCAUAGAAUAGCUGAGAUUAAGAGCUAGAUUUAAAUCAUGCAACAGUCCAGUUAAUAUCAAUGUCUAAUUAAGAAAUGCAUAAGAAGUCUGUAAUGUUGAUUUGAUGGAGAAAAACUCUAAUAGGGUUUCUUUUGGAAUUUUCCAUUUCAAUUGCUGUGUAGACUUUUAAUGGAUGUCCUAUCCAGUCUUUGGUAUUAGCAGGAAUCAUCCUCAAAUUAAAACCAAGGCCUAAAAUGGAGCACAGGUAGACAAAUUAGCUGGUCUGGGAAGCAGCCUGGGUAGAAUGACUGUGUGAGCUGAAGCAGAAAUUUGAGUACAAAUAAAAGAGAACAAACGUCUCAAAUCUGGUGUGGAAACCCUCUCUGCUUCUCGUUUGAAGCAAUCUAAAACCCUGUAAUUUGAAACAAUGUGAUGUUAACCCAUUUCCCCACCUCCCUAAGCCUGCAGAAAUCCCUGACAAUUCAUACUUAGACACCUAGACCACUAAGAAUUAUUAAUUAGUCUUUUUUAUUUAAAACUCUUUCCAUAGUUAUGCAUAUUAGUAGUGUGUAGAGGUGGGUUCUUCUCUGCUUGUGAUGGGAUUUAGAGCACACAGGUCCCUGUCACCAUCAACGAGCACCAUUAAUCUCCCACUCCUCUCUGGGUAACUAAAUCUCUCAAUCCCCUGGAGCAAAACUAAGCCUGUGGUGUCUUCUGUGUCCCAUGGAUCAUCCAAGACGUUUGGUCUCUAGAUGUGAAAGGGGAACUGGUUUUGAGCACAUGACUAAUGCCCUGAAGUUGCUAAAAGAGGAGCAGUGCAACUCUUGGUAUGCACAAAUUCACUUAGCAAAGAGGGGGAAAGCACAGUGCUGGGCUGAAGCAGCAGUGUAUUUGUUAUCACCACUCUGUUGUUGAUCCAGCAGAUCCAGAGGGAAUGAUCUCAAGGAAGAUGGCACACUCAGAAUAACCCCUCUGACCAAUGCAUGCUGGGGAGUAAUUUUAAAGUUCAUUAGAACAGAUUAAAAUAUAAUAUAUUGGCCAUGGCAAAGCAAGGCACGUGAUUCCAUCUGUCUACAUGUCUCUUUCCAGUACUAAAUACAUACAGAGACCUUUCAGAAUUAUAACAUUAAGUCUUGUCAUGUCCACAGAGAGUAGAAAAGACUGGAGGUGAAAAUCAGAGUAACAGUGAAAUUUUAGCACUUUUAUUUUUGGGUCGUUGCCCGAAAUGUCACGGUCCAAAUUCAUGCCUGACAUUGCCCCGUUGACCCAUGAAGCACAAAUAUAUCUUAUUAAAGAGUGAUACCAUGGCCCUGGGGGAUGCUCCAAGGAUUUUUCUCCUUGAAAGUGAUGGGAACAAGAAUGCUUUCAGUGAGGUAUCUGCCUUUUCAAUGGUGCAGGAGGUCUGAUGUGAGGACACUCAGGCCGUCAGAGAAGUCUGGGUAUUUUUACCCUGCUCUUCAUAGUAAGACUGGGAGGUGCCAUGGGUUGGGAUGAUGCUAGAGGAUUGUUCAGGUGGAGUUCUAACAGGAUGCUUUGUCUGCAACCUUUAUUAGACUUAUCCAAUACUUAGGGAAAAAACAAGAGUAUGAAGCAGGCUGUCCUUUGCAAACACACAACAGAAAAAACUCCAAAACUUAACUUGUCCAACGCAUUUGAGAGCCACAAAUUCUGUUACAGCUUUGCUAAAUGAGAGGAAUAUUUCUCUCCUCCUCUAUAAAACCAUCCUUUUAGACAUUACUGCAGCCAUGACCUCACUGCAGUUCCUGGAUUCCUUCUGAAAAGAUUAAAAUGAACUAAUACACAAAUGAUCUCAUCGCAGCGUAAAGGACAUCUUACACAGGGGGGGAAAACUAAUCAGGAGGACUUCAGAGCUGCAUUUGUAUAGCAGUAGAAAAAUAACUGUAACACCACUGUGGAAAAACAGAUGCCAGAGAGGCAUUUUGCCAUCUUAGGAACCAUUUGGAUUUGUCCUACCUGCUCCUGCCUGUCACACCUGUCAUCCUCUUAGCUGUGUCCACAUCUCUCACCUUUCCUUUUUUCCUACCUUUAUCUACAAUUGUUCUAUUCUAUGCCCUUCCCACCUGCCUUGAUAUUCCUGGUAAGUUUGAAUUGUGUACACUCCUAUUCUCAACUACACCCAAAAUGCAUUUUGCAGAGUACGUACGUACUCACCUUACACAAAAGUAUUCACACAUACUUCAUCUGUAGUUUAUGUUAUUCUGGAUUAAGAACACCUUUUCUAUGUUUUCAUGCUACUCUCAGCCCAAGGGGUCAUGGAGGAUGACAGCUCUCAGCCACUUUGGAGCUGUUGUAUCUUCUAAGAGAAAUCAGGAAGAUGCAUUAUUUUCUUUGGUAGGAGAAUCUAUAAAUUAAUAUUUAUGUAAGUGAGACUCUCACCACAUUUUUAAUGUUGUAUCACAUUUUGAGGCUGGAAAAUACAAUAUCAUGGAAUUAAGUGAUCUUUAAGGUCUUUUUCAACCCAAGCUUUCCUAUGAUUCUAUGAUCUUCAGAACAAGAUGAAUAUAGUGUUAAUAAUGCAAUCUCAUCUCUCGUGCCCAUAGGUCCCCCUCAGCUCUGCCUUGAGGUGACACCGUUAAGCAAGAGGUGACAAACCGGUUUCCUUUCCCAAGGAAAUGUCACGAAACUGCCCAGGGGCCCGCUUUGGUGGGGGUUGCACCCUGACUUUUCAAGGAGAGAUGUGCUGCUGUGGCCCCUUCCCACCCUGGCAGGAGGAGCUGAAGCUGCUCAUUCAGAGCUGUGACAUUUCUCUGGCAGAAGACAUCAGGUUGUAGGGAGGGAUCGGGGCAGCCACCUUUAGACACUGGCAGAGAAACCCCCAGAAUUCAUCCAGAGGAGAUGAGCUCCCAGGGCUAGACCAUGGAUGGUGGUACCUUCCUAUCCACCCAACAAGAUUUGCUACACCUAAAUGGGGGAGCAAACACAUCCAACCCCAAAUGCUCUACAGUUGAUAGAUCUUCAGGGAAGAGAGCCCUGAGCAGUGAUGAGUUCUGUAGGAUGUGUGCUGCAGCAUUGGGAAAGUCCAAAAAGCCCAAGGAGCAGUGCAGAGCAUCUGUCACCAAGAAAAUAGCACGUGAAAAGCUGUUGUAAUUCCUGUCCCCAGCAGCCUAAGGCAGAGAGGACUUGGAGAACUCAGGAUUUUCAGUGAGAUCUCUCCCCAAACCCUGCAGAUUUACCAGGUCAGCUCAGUCCAGGCCAAAGUUGCCAGGAAAGGUCCUCGGCUCUGCUCCAAGUUCAGUGCUCUAUUGAUUGGAAGAGGUAUUUAUUGUAGGUCAGGAUCUCGAGCCAAGACAGCUGAAGCUGCAAGGACUAAAUUGUCUGUUCCUGACCCACAGAUAAAACAAAUGGCCAGUUUUAGCCUAAUCAUCACUUCUGCCUAAGAAAAGAGAAACUCUUUGAGGUAAGUUCCCUUGGAUAUAAUUCUUUCUUUCUAGGUUACCGAAGGGCUGCAGCUAAUACAUAUCCUGAGUCAUAAUGUGGAUUUGCACCUUUCCUGUGAAAUAUAGCUGGUUUAUGUCCAAAGGAUCCCUUCUCUCCCUAAUGCUCACUCAUAUUGUUACAACUUCUACAUUAGUUGCAGGUGUGAAAUGCCAGCUGAUGCACAUUUCUCCUGCUGUCAGCAGGGGAGUAAUGUGUGUCAAAGGCCUGCUUCUCAGAGGGGAGGUCACCCAGAUCUCCAUUUGCACAUCUGCUUUGCUAAACACAAAACUCUGGAGGUUUGAAAACUCCAAUGUGCAACGAAAUGGGAUGUGAUCACUGGAGGCUGUACAGAAGGAACUGCUUGUGCAGGACACAGAAUUUUCCCUCUGUAAAAAAUUUCUUCCUGCAUUACAACAGGUGAUCUUUCACUUGUAAGUUCUAUAUUAAUAAGGAAAAAACUACACUUCUCUGCAUUCCACGAGCAGACAGGAUACCAAGAGAUUAAAAGAGAGCCUCACACAUUAAGCAGAAAGGUGCUAAUAUUCAGCAUGUCCCUGCUUGGAGUGUGCAGACAUGAAGAUCAGGAAAGUGCCUGAUCAGAGCUCCUGGAGGGACCGUGCUGCUGGAGCCUGCCUCACACAGAGGCAUCCUGGUUUGGUUCUGAGGCUUCCAGAGGAGCUUUCAAACGUUUCUAUUUCCUGCUGUUAGUGGAUUUUUUUCAUACCUUGGAAUAAGUCUUCCGAUAGUAAUGUGUUUGCAGUAGAUUCUGAGAUAAUAGUUCUUGCUCAGGGGACCUCUAAUACACAGUAUUUUAUAACUUCUACAUUUUAUAUGAGAUCAAAAACUACUCCUAUAUAUACACACAUGCCUAAUUCUUUCUUGAGUCCUGCUAGAAUCUAGAAUAUCCCUCAGAAUCUGCCAUAAGGAUGCCCACAAGUCAUCUAUACAGAAUAUUUUUUAGUCUUAGUAUAUUUGGCCUUUUAAUGUCAUGUGUUUAUGCAUCAUGAUUCUGGUUAUUCUGCAUUUACAGGACAUUUUAAACACAUGCAUCCAAGCAUCAUUUACCACUCACUAUGCAUUGUAUUUUUUCCUCUCUCAGUUGACUAUUUCCAGAUUUUUUUUGGGGGGCUAGUGAAACCAAUACUGACCUUUUUAUCCAAAAUGAGAAAACAGGGACUUGGUCAUCAGCUGUAUGCUGAUGUUCCAUGGAUAUAACAUCAUGUUAUGUGGAAUUUAGACCUUGUAUCCUCACAGUAACUUAGUUAGAAUUAAAGAAAAUUGAUUUCUAAAGGCCAAAGCAUACUGGGGAGGGCCAUGAACUGAACACAUAGGUCAGAGCAUGUUUCAUGAAAAAUUUCAAACCUGAAAUUCCAGCCUUGAGCCUCUGCUGCUCAUAAUGGACAUCUCCUUAAGGGAGCUGUUGAAAAUAGUUUUCAUGAGAAUCAGAAGAAAAUAAAUUUCAUGAGAAUCACUUUUAAUUCUGAGGAAGGAGAGCACUUGCAUUUUAAAGAAAAGUUUGAUUCUGGAAAAGACUCUCUCUGGAAAAGUUGGUGAGUUAGAGGAGCUGUAGAAGACAGAGUGGCUGUUUGGCUCUUCAUGGAAGUGUUUGUUGAAUUCAGGCCUUUCCCCUGAAAUUUACACCAGAAAUUCAGAAAUUUCAUCUUUGAUCAGAACAGCUUCAUUGCCUUCCUGGGUAAUAGGAAUGAUAUUGGUUUCCCUGGGCUGUAUGUUACAGACAUGACAGAGCCAUGAAAAGAAGUGGAGAAAGGGAUACUGAUUUUCUUGGAAUGAAAUAGAGAAAAUUUGGGCUUGGAAAACAUUUGUCUACAAUAUGCUGAAAGUUUAAAGAAAAACUUUAUAAAGAAAAAAAAUCUAAAGAAACAUUCUCCAAGAGCAUGCCUGUUAAUUUUAUCUUCAUUUUUGCCACGUAUAAUUAUGAGAAACACAGACAACUCAUAAGAAUUUUUAGUUUCUGUUGAGAAUUGCCUUUUCCAAGAUAAUUCUGUACACUAUUACUUUAGCCCACUGGGUAUCAUGUAGGGAAGGUGCAAGAUUACGCACAUGAAUAUUUCUGUCUACCACUUAUGCGUGCUGAGACAAUAUCAACUUAUACUUUCUCCUGUCAUUGGUCCUUAUUCCGUAGAGGAUAUUCUUAAUUACCAGCAAGACAAUUUGGUAAUAUCAUGUAAAGUGUAACAGCAUAAUUUCUGUGAUGAUUUACACCUGCUAAGGAUCUGAAUACGGAAUUUUAAAACAUGUUUUAAGUUUAGAAGAAAGAGUGUUUUUUCUACAAGACACUAUUUCUAUUUUUAAUAGAAAUAAUCUAAUUUUUAAAAUUUAUUGGCACUGUUCUUCUGAAUGAAAUGGAGCUUUUGAACAUAAAGACACCAUUUUUACACAUUUUCACUGCCCUGAAAAAUUUAGAGCACACUUCUGUACUGUAUUAAAUCAACUUGAGUCUAAAUGUCUAAACACUAUUUUUGACAACUGUGCAUGAGGGACGUGCCUGUACAGGGAUUCUAAAGAAUAAAAAACCUAAAAAUAUCUCAGUUGCAAAGAAAAUUCCCUGUAUUCCUUCUUACACUUCGUAAUAGUGGUUAUAUAUAUAUAUAUAUAUGUAUAUAUAUAUAUAUUUUUUUUUUUUUUUAAACCCUCACAGGUUUACCUCUAAUUCUAUUGGAAAUGAUUGAAAUUAUUCCAUUGACUUUAGCAAACUCUAUUUCCUGCUGGAUUAAAGGCAGUAUUUGUGCAUCAGAUUUCCUGGUGAUGUCCCACUAAUGAAACAGGUAAUUUUAUAAACAUGUCAGGGAGGGUAAGUGCCCAAUAAAAAGAUGUCAGAUAGAGAUGCACAAAUUACAGUCUAUUUGUAAUUGAAAUAAAACCAGGAAUUCUUACUGUGAGUCAUGAAUUUCUUUAUAAUUGCUUCCACAUUUGGGGCAACUUUUCCCUAGGUUGUCUACAGAAACCCUGCAAUUCUUGGGGCUUCUGAUGGCAGUUAUGAUCACAACAACGCAUCUCAUUUCUGAUAGAAAUUACUUACUUUGGAAAUGAUUGUUUUUUUCUUGAAUUGCCUUUCUGAGUCUUUAUCUACAACUAUUUUGUUAUCCUCCUCCUCAUUUUCUAUUUCUAAUACAAAACCAGGAAUCCUUAUCAAUUUAGAAGAGCAAUAAAACUAAAGAAAAUUCAGGCAGAACUGUAAAGCACAGUCUAUUUUAAAGUUCCAGCUCAGAUAAUAAGACUCUGGCUUGUGCUGUGCCUCACUCAUGGACUCAGUUUUCCACAGUGCAAUCAGUGUUGUAAUAAUGCAAAUCAAAUACAAUUUUAAUAACUCCUUCCAUUAAUGUUUUAAGACUGCAACACUUAUGAGCAUGAUUCUAAUUGCAUGAUUUUGCUACAGGCAAGUUUUAUAGAUCUGUCUGAUCUUUGGAUAUUUGCACCGUUUGGAUUAUUUUAAAUAAUUAAUUUUUGGAAGAAUUUCAGUCUCAGUAACAACAGUUGGGUUUGAUAGUGGCUGUCUUGUCAGUAAUUGUAUGUAUCUGCUUCCAUGCCAGGAUAAACUAGAUAAAUUUAGAUCUCUUUGGAAGGAGGGGGAUGAGGUUUAUACCAUGGCAAAUGUUAUGGAGAAUGUUCUUAGGAGGGGAAUAUUUAUAGACUAUGUUAAUACAAGGAGCAAAAGAGGUUUAAAGUGAAUAAAAUUUUGUCAUGCAGCACAAUUAGUUAAUUAAAUUGCAGGACUUUCUGCCAAAAGAAUACCAAAAAUAUAAUCAACUUAAAAUACCAUUAAACAUUCUUGUUUUAUGCAACUUCUAUUGCCAGUCUCUAAUGCUCUGAGUGAUAGGAACAGGGAAAAUACCUCAUGAGAAGAAUUCAUUUGACUUCUGACAUUUUUCUGUGUGUCUGCUGGGAGUUUCUGCCAUAGAAUCUUGGAAUCAUUAAGGGUGGAAAAGAGCUCUGAGAUCAUCAGUUCAACCAUAACCCGACACUGCCAGGUCUAACAUGAAACUGUGUUCCUUAGCACUGUAUCCACACAUUUUUGAGCACCUCCAGACAGUCUCUAGACAGCUUGUUCCAGCACUUGACCACCCUCCCAGUGAUGAAAUUUUCCCUAAUAUCCAGCAUAAACCUCCCCUGGUGCAACUGAGUCUUUUUCCUUUUGACCUGUCAUUUGUUACCUGGGGGAAGGGACCGGCCCAUACCUGGCCACAGCUCCUGUCAGGGAGUUGUAGGGAGUGACAAAGUCCUCCCUGAACCUCCUUUUCUCCAGGCUGGACACCCCAGGUUCCCUCAGCUGCUUCUCAGAUGCUGAAGGGCUUGCAGGACCCCUGGUGUAACUCAACUUUGCUAUUUUCAGGCAAGGCAAGCAGUUGUUUGAAAGCUUGCUCCUCUCUCCAGAAAUCUGUGUAAAACCUCAGGCUUUCUUGGCAUUGUGCAGAAUGGGAUGAGGGAAACGACAGGACAUGGGAAGAAGGUAAGUGGGGCAAGCAAAAGUCACAAGGAAAGCGUUUGCUGAGUGGCUGGUGAGGGCCCUUACCUUGAUACUGUCCCCAGGGUUCCUCUCUAGUGGCAGGCACUUGGCUCUCCUCCUUGUAGGUGCUGUUCUUCCCCUCGAGCAUCGCUUGAGAUCUGUAGCAGAAGGCUCCCUCCUUCAAGAUGAACAGAAACACCAACACAGUCUUGCCCACUCUUGAUUCCACAUCUCUUCUGUAGAGAAUUUGUUCCAAAUUUUGCUCGUGACAAGUGCCUACACAAGGCUUGGACAAACAAGCAUUAAAAGUAGCAGUGGGAAUUUUCUUUUGAGGGUUAAAGGAUAGCUAUGAACCAAAUGUUGCUAACUGUACCACAAGAGGUGUUUUUCUGCCUGCAAAAAAUAAGGUGCUCUUCAGUGAAUAUGGCUUUACCCACCCCAACAGUGGAGGUUUUCCUGUCUGUUUGGUGAAUUCUGUGUCUGGCAUGACAGAAAAGAACAUCUCAUCUGAAAUACCCUGAGUGCAUUUCCAUUGCAGGAAAAGUUCUAACAGUCUUGCUACAGAGUUUACACACUGUCAGAGAAACAGUGCACAGGUUGUGCAAAACCCAUGAUAAACUUUUACUUCAACAAAAGUAAUAAUCAAUUUAAUCAAUCCUGUUUGAGAGGAAUGGAAGGGGGCAUAAGCAUAUAGACCUUUGAGAAAUGUAAGUUUUCCAGGAAUGGAUACUCAGAAGUAUGGAUAAUUGCAACAGUAUUUGAGAAUUUCACUGCUGGAUCAACUCAGCAUGAAGUUCUCAAUUAUUCUUUCCCAAAAGUCAUCCCAAACAAGAACACCCUGAUAUACUGAAUUAAUGAUAAAAGGGGAUUGUGGCUAGGGUUUUCCAUGAGAACUUUGUCCUGGAAAAUACCAAACAAACAAAAAGGUUUGGACUGAAUAAUGCAGUUUUCAUGAGGCUUCUCCACUGAAAAAAAAAGAGAUAUUAAAGACUUCUAAAAAAAUGGCAAGUGUCCCAAUACAUAUUAUUCUAAGUGAACAUAUAUUUGCUUUGAAAUAUAUUUUGAUUUUAAUUUUUAAUUUAAAAGUGAAAGUAAAAAAAUGAAAUAUUUUGAAACUACUGAAGCAAAUGGCUCAGUUAGAUUUUUCACUUUUAGCAGCUUAUUGGUUAGCCACAGAAUUAGCUGAGAAAGAAUGAAAUCCUGAAAACUCCCAAAGGACAGAAAAAAGCACUUCCCUGUCAGCUAUAAAAUGAGUGAAAAUUAUAAUGACAUUUUCAUUUAGCACAGAGAUUUACUAAAACACCCACAUCUUCACGGAAGUUGCAAAGAUUUGAACUCGGACACACUUUUGGUUUCUCCCCAGGUGUGAUAUUUAAUGAUAAUGUUUUUACUAGACCUGGUCACUGACACUCUCAGAUAAAGAACUGGAGGCAUUCCAGCCUGUACAGGGGUAAUAAUCUCUGUUUCAUAUGCUAGCACAAGAAGGAGGGUGGGAAGCACGAGCAGGAAAUUUCACCCUUUUAUUUCAAACUAAUGCAUUUAAACAGGAAAUGGUAAUUAAAUAAUUUAGAAGUGAGCUAUCCAAGGAAAAAGAGCCCCAGAUGCCGUGAAGGGUUAAGCUUUGUAGGGCAGAGAGGGGAGGCCUGUGUAGCUUCACUGUGCUGAUGGUGUGGGGAAAGAACUUCUGAGAUGCCUGCUCAAUUUGUCAGGAUUUUAUCUUCUGAACUAUUACCUCCAGCUUUCUCCAGAACACCCUUCCCAGCCCUUUUAUCUGCGAGCUAUCUCCAAGUUAACUGUCUGCCUAUUGCCUUGGCUGAACCGCACUAAUAGUCAGCUAAUUACACAUGAACGCUCUAAUUUGCUUUGUCUUUCUCAAAAAACUCACGCGUGUGCAGACACGCACCCGAGCGCACCUCUGCCCGUGCCACGAAUUCAGCGCCAGCAGAAUUGGGGUAAGAUUUGCUGCAUUUGUUUUCUGUCCCCUCUGAUGAUUCCCCCCAUCAGGCCACCACCGCCGCUUGUCAUUCCUGAUUUGCAACAUCACCUGUUGCUCCAGCACCAGGCUCCUGCAGAGCAGAAACUGGAGCAAAGAAGAGAAAUACGUGUUUGUCAUUGAACUGAGCUGAGAAGAAGGAAGAGGAGAAUGAUAAGAUCAUAGCCUGCAGCACUUUGUUUAUGAGAACAUCCUUCCAGUGAUAUAUGUCUGCACCAGGUGAAAGUAUUGUGUCACCUCUAACAUAUUUUAAAUGCCAGGGCUGUCAUGCAAGAAGACAAUGAUGAACAAGUUUAAACAGAAUAUGGUUUUGUAGCCAUGUACAGAGUUACCCUUUGAAGGUUUGCACUGGUAAUGCUUCUUUGCAAAAUGUUUCCAAGCUCUGUUACGUUCCCCUACAGAACCCUUCUCACACAGAAUUUAAACUAAAUGGAGACAUUUCUAUUGCAGGCAAACUGAUGGGGUUAUACAUAAAGCAGUGCAUUUCCUCAGGCAGGAUUUUCAGGCCAUUUCACACGUCCUCCCUACCAUACUACCCAAGUUGGUCAUAACUUGGAUAGGAGCCCUGCUCCACUCAGCAGGUCUGUCUACACCAUGCUCUGAGGAGCAGGGACUGGCCCAGGUCACUGCAUGGCAGAGGUUUACUCAGACCAUCCCUGUCAUGCUCCUGUGGACUGAAUUCCCGUUAGCUGCUGCAGCUCCCAGACCACAUCACCUGCUUUAAUUCCGCACCAAAGAAUUCUGCUUGCGUGCUCCAAGCUGCCUGGCCUGGUGGGACGGGGUAAGCAGGGUUAUUUGGAGGAUUCUCUUCAAAAGUGCACUCCUGGGCCAAAGUGAAAGGCUAAUGCAGAAACACCUUUUCUCAGCAGGCAGAUAUGCCCAGAGCUAUCAUCACAUGGCAGUUUUCUUCCCAGAUAUUUAUCUGGAGCUCAACUGCACGCACACCAACUGUUCUAACACCGUUGCACAACACCACUGCUUGGCUCGGACUGACAGCUCAAAUUGAGCCUUGGGAAAGCCAACAUCCACCACAUGAUAUUGAGAAUGGGCAUGACCACAUCCACCUUGGAUUCAGGUGAAGGAGCUUUCGCCGUGUGUGUCACGUGGAAUGAAGGCAACCGUGACACCGCGGAGCCACACGCCACUGAGGAAGAGUAAGGUCAGAGCCACUCCAUGACCCAUCCAUGACAGCAUUAAUAACUUUACAAGAGGUAGGAAAGGGAGUUUCUGAUUGCCUGAAAAAACCUUCAAGGAGGUAGGAUUUCUUAAGUACUUAUUAAGGUCCUGUGUGGGCUCGUGUAACGUGUUCAGCAUCUGCCCCGCAGUUUUCCUUUCUGCAAAGUGGAUGUACCUUGUUUUCCACAAGGUUAUUAGGAGGAUUUUCCAAUUAAAGUUCAUCAUAAAUGAAAGUGUCUUGCAAACAGUAUUUAACCACCUGUCUAAAAACGGUCUCCAAGUUCUUUGGGCAGAAUGUGAGUUUUUAUAGGGCCUAGUCACAGUGUCCAGAAGGCUACGGGAUCACACGCUGCAUCUUUAAGACAGAGUUUACUUCUGAAUCAGUAAAUGUACUAGACAAAGCAGCCAUUAUUUAUGCAUUCCCGCAUACAUGGCAAGGUGAAAAUAAUAGAAUAAACAUCAUAUACUUCAUUAUGAUAUCGGUUUACACUUCCAGGGUACACAAAAAGAGGCCAUUUCAUCAAGCUAAUUGCCUGAAAGUAAAAGAGAGAGAACUUUAGCUAUUAGUCUAUUAUGGGGCUUUUUUCUUAAUCACAAAUAGGGGCCGUGUGUCCCCAGGGGGAUGUGUAUUCUAAUUUACAAUUGAACUACAGAUCAGAGCAAUCAAUCUUGUGCAGCACUUUUACAGUGUAAUUGCUGCAACAUAACAAAUAAAAAAAAAAAAAAAGCAGCCUAAGUCGAGUUUCAGCUUGAGGUGGAGAUAUUUACCAGGCAUUGGUUCGGGGUGGGAGGGAGGCAGAGAGAGGAGAGAGGCGCCAAAGCCAUGAAUAUGCAAUGAGGGCUCAUUAGUGCCCCAGUGUUGCCAUGACGAAUGGCAUUAUCCCCAGACUGGUGCAGCCUAAACAUGAAUUUUAUAACGACCCAUUUAUCAUGACUUGUCAUGGGUUUCUUUACUGUACUUUCUACUGACUCUCACACCUUCCACCAUUAGCACCUCAGAAUCCCUUCCUUUUGUUCUUUUAUCUUAGUCCAUCUUAGUUUUUGGUAGAGAUUCUCAGGGGGUAAGGAGGGGAGGGCUGCAAAUGGUGGUGUUCAAGAGUUCAGAGCUUCCCAAGCUGAAGACCCACCGCCAAAAUGUGUUGGUGGUCUUCAGUCCACUUGCUAGUGGAUAAGUGUCCUCGUUGUCACGAGUAUCUGCAGUCUUGUCAGUUGACUCAGCAGAAAGGUCUCGGGUUGACCGAGCAUCCAGACAACUAUCUUUCCACCCUGGCAGAUGUGAUGGAUGAAUCUGCUUUGUUGACCUAGGCCUGUCUCCUCCUCAGCCCACUCCAUCUAUGUGCGCAGUGUAACAAUCCACCUCACAUCUUCACGUUGAAAAAGGUGCAAAAUCAGAUAAAUAAACAAAACCUGCUUUCUCCCCAGUUUCACUUAAACGAAAAAAAACGCAUUAGGUCUGAAACCGAACUGAUAGGGAAAGCAUUUACUUUCCAGGAGCAAGCAGUAUUAGUCAACUCUAGAGGAAAACCAAAUUACUGGGAAGUAAUUAGUGUCUGGCUUUAGCUCAUUUUUGGUCGCUGCAUGUUGUCUCUGUUUUACUGCUGUCCCUUUGGCCUACCCGAUCCCACAUUUAAUAUACCACUGCUUAUAAAGAAAACCCUGUGGCUCAGAAGGCUGAAUUGCCACUGCUGGGCUAGGCCUGCUCUCUAGUAUAUAGAGGCUUUCAUUUCCCAAGUUAUGAAUCUGACAUCUCAUGGCCAAAUCCAUGCCAGUUUAUUUCUGAGAAGUCUGUCCUCAUUAUUUACCCCAAAUAGUUUCACUGUCAGUCUGCCUUUUUUUUUUUUUUUUUUUUUUUUUUCCACUGUGAAGUGGCUGGAGUAUCUGAAAGUAUCAAGCCCCUCUUUGUUGGAUUUUACACUUUUGCUAUUACAAGAAUUUGUCUUUAGGGAUAGAAAAAUCAAGCAACUUAUUUCCAGCUAUUACUUGGAUAGGACUUCAUGUUCUUAAACAAGUUCAGAGCUCCCAUGAUCUCUGGAAACAACUCUCCCGAGGUCUUACAUCAGGGUAGCCCUACAGUUCUUUCAUUACUCUACUGGAUGUUUGAAAAUAUUAAAAGGCAUCUAACAUCCCAGGCCAGCAAUUUAUAGACUCAAAGUCUGGCGCUGUAGCCCUCAAAACCUCUAUUUCUUCCACAAAAUCUGCACUUUGCUAUUAUUGUUGCCAAGACAGGCACGUGUUUCACCAGGAGUAGUUUGUCAAAGCAACAGUCCAUUAUCCAAAGAUUCAUGACAGGUUCCCACUCUGGUACACGAUGGAAGAGAGGCUGGAUGGCAGAAUGGGAGGAGAAAGGAAAGCUUCCUCUCACAAAGGUGCAUUUGGGAAAUGACACACCUUGAUUAAUCAGGGCAUAGCUGAUUAGGCCAGCAAAUGCUUGCCUUUUUUUUUUUUUUUUUUAAUUUUUAAAACCAUCUGUGCUCCUUUGGAGAAUAGAGGUAUAUAAAAAUAUAUGUAUAUGCAGUUUUUUAAAGCCCCAGACAGCAUCUUCCAGAAGUCUUGACCUAUGAUGGAGAACUCCAGCUCCCACUACAAUACAAACAAUGUUCUGUUAAUUAUCAGGAGACAAAAGAAGAAUAAAAAUCACUAGAAGCAAACCAGAAAUGACAUCUAAUAUUGCAGAAAAUAUCCACUGUCUUCACAAGGACUUGGGACACAGCAAAUAUUAUCAUUAUUCCCAAGAAGAAAUGUUUGCCCUAUGACCCAGGUGAUCUGAUCACCUAUUGAAUGGAGAGUUGCCACAAACAAUGUGGUUUAAUUCAAUUAUUUUAAUUUAUCUCCUAUUAGGAGUACUAAAACUGACUUUACUCAGUCUAUAAGAUCAGAUUGAUACAUCUGAUCCAUUGUCUGCAGUUUAUGUGAUGGAAUAAGCAGAUUCCUGUUUGAGUUGGUCGCAGGAACUCACAGGUCCAAUCUGUGGAGGUUAUUCCAUUAUUUUAUACCAAUACCUGCAGCUUCCUUUGAGAAACAGGCUCAUCUUUCUUCCACUCACCUCAUGGAGCAGAAAGGCAUGGAAACAAGGAAUAUUAAGGGCCAGCCAAUGCAGAUGACACCAAGCUCUGUGUCACUUUAGCACCCAGGAAUCACGGAAUCACAUCAGAGUUUUUUAGGUUGAGAUCAACAACCAUAUGGAGGGCAGCUGCCCAGGAAAGGAAAACAUUCACUAUUCCUCAGUCAACCCACAAAUGGCAAUCAUUAAAAUAAAAUAAUUGCAGUCUUUAAAAUAUUAAGUCCUUCGUUCCAAACUGACAGGACUCUAAGUAUAGGAAACACACAAAUUUCAGGAGAAAAAGGCUACUUUCAUUGUCGUAUGAAUCCAGCUUCCAAUAAAGUAUCAGAUUUGAGAUUGUUUCAGGGAGAAAUUAAGAAAUAUAAGCAAUAUUUUGAGGUGGAAGAAAAAUCUAUAAGGUAGGACUAACUGUUUAUCCUGAAUUUAUGGUAAUUUUUGGGACUGAGUGCUGUAGGAUCAGAAAUAGGGUAUCAACAGACUUACACAAAAAUUCUGCUUUAAACACAUAUAUUUGAAUGUAAUAAAAUUCUGUCCAUAUAGUAAAAAUCUGCAAAAUUAUAUAUACAGUAAUUUUCUACAUUUACAAAUAGCAUUUAUAAACUUAGGAUAAAAAACAUCCCUGAGAAAAACUUCUCGUGUGAUUACUAUUUAAUGCUUUUCAAUGUCCUUUCAACUGACAUGUAUACACAAAAAUCAAAAAAGCCCAUAAACCCAGGCACUAUUUCUCUGUGUAUAGUGAUGCUCUUUUAAAAACAUGAUAAAAUUCUAAACCUGAACACAAAACUCCUUCUGACUGAAUACUAAAGUGUUUGAACACACAGCCAGUGCCAGGGACAUAUUCUUAUUUGCUUGUAAGGGCUCCUGAUUGUGCUAAAUAAACCUGACCAGCCUUUUGUAGAGAAAUUCAUUCCUCCCGUUUUAGUUCUGUUUCAAAUACGACCAAAUAUAAUCUUUCUUUGUUCAAAGCUUGGCUUUAGUCAUCCUAAUGAACUAAUGAUCUUUUCCUCUGGAUAUACUUCAGCUUUGUCUUUAAGGCUCCUCACCUUUCUCCAAGUGGAGCCAAUGGUUUGCUGCUCCCCACUUUUAAACAAACAAACACAGUGUCCUUCUUCCCCCUUCCUCCCCACUUUCUUUAAUGACAUCUUCAGUCAUUAAUGAGUUAAUAAAAAUCUCAAAGUCAUCUGGGAAUAGAUAAGGGGGAAGAAAGAAGAGUAUUGUACACAUAAUGACAGGCUCCCUGCUGGCCCUAAGAUGUCAUGGGUCAGCCAUGUCAAGAAUGUGUGUGCCCAAUCAUCUGCUGAUUUUUAUCAGCAAGGCCUGAAGCAGAAUCUGACACGGCCAGUUUGGGAGUUACAAUGAAUAAACAAUGACUUCUUGGAUUGUUGGCGGCUGUGUGAUAGAGUGAGAGGGUUUAUAUAUACUAAAACAUGAUGACAUUAGCAAUCAAUAUACCAAUUACUGGACAAGUUAUUGGAUGAAGAAUGCACAUGUCCUGAGCUUUGUGCACUUUGAACAUGCUACCAGCAAAGGAGACCACAGAAAUAAUGUUAAUUAACCCAUUCCAAGCUUGAUAUGCUAAUACCUGAUGAUGCCUUGAAGUUUCUGAGAGCAUGAGGUAGGAAAAAACAUUCAUCUGGUAUAGCACAUUAAGCAUUUGAAAUAUAAGACACAAGCCUGACAAAUUUAUUUUUCAUCAGGGCUCGAGGAAGAAAGGAAUAAAUUUUUUCAAGUGAGCAACUGAGAUUGUAACAGGCUUAAAUUGUUCUCUAUAAAAUUUCACCUAAACACCUUCAGCAGACUACACAAAUUUCAUCACUGAGGAGUUAGAACUUACUUCUUAUAGGCUGGUUAAGGAAAUAUCCCAGCAACUUUCGCCUCUCUUAAGUAGAGAAAGGAAGAUAAAACUCUAACAUGCUUUUUUAUUUCUGUAUGACAGCAAAUGCAUUUCUGCAUCUGAUCCGUCUCUUACAUUCUUUAGUGUGCUCAAAAUAUUCAGUGUUUAUGAGUUUGUCUUCUCUUAUUCUGGAAGUGAUUGUGAAGAUAAAAUGACAGUGUUUUAAUUGAAGACAGAAUAGAAUGGGAUUAUAUAAAUCACCUAAUUCCAAGUACAAUAUAGAAGAAAACUAAAGUGGAGAUCAACGUUGCAGACAGAUCUAGAUUGGAGUUAAAUGGUGUCAGCUCUCCAUUAAGAUGGACAAGUCCAUGAUCUAAUGGAAAGCUCAUGGGUUUUGCCCUGAGAUGCAUUGUUAAAAUGAUGUGGGAAAGACAGGUUUUAUGAUGGUUCUUCAUCCUUUUCUGUGUAGUCUCUGAAUGACAAUUUUACUGCCAUCUGGGAAGCAGCAACGCCAUGGACCCUUUGACUUUUGCUCAGGUGGGAGCAAACAAGGCAGGGUGUAAAUAUAAAAUUUAGCUCUGCCUGCCAGGGCAUCAACCAAUGCAGUAGAAAUUGUGCAGAAGGGAGGAGAAGAGUUCAGCCAUCAGAGUGGCCCUGUGUACUUGCUGUGUGCCAGGGGCUGAAUAAAAUCUGCAGAUACAUCUCUUACAGAUCACUUUUGUGAUGUUACUCUAAAUUAUAAUCAAAUCUGCUCCUGCUCCUCAGAGCACUAAGCACUUCUCAGAGUUGUGUUGGAUGGUGAUGGCAGAGGGACCAGCCUCAGACAAAGGGGAAAAAUAAAUGAGGCUCCAUCUGGUUUUAACUGCAGUGGUUAUGAGGUGUUGAGCUGGAUCCUUCCAAAUGUCUCUUCCCUUCCCAUUGAGUAAGUUUUUGAGAAGUUUAAAAGUGAAUUUGUCCAGCAUGUGUGACAUGAAUAACAAAAUGCUUUUAAAUGUAAAUGUUUCAUAAAAUAGCAGCAUUACCAUACAUUGCAGUGAAUACAGUUUAAAAAUCCAACUCAAUAAUCCCUCCUCUGUAAUUUACAAUUAACUUUUUGCCUCAAGGUAACAGCUACAUUCACAAAAAUAAUGGUAAUAGAUUGACCUUGUUAUGAAUGGAUAACAAGCUGGAAACAAUAUAGUUUGUCACAGAGCAUUAACUGUUACUGUUGAAAUUGUAAAUAAUGUGUAUAGAACUUGCAAUGUAAAUGGCUCCCCUUAAAAAUAUUAAUUAUGUCAAUUAAACACUUGAUGCAUAAUGGAUUAUUCUGAAACCUAUUUAAGUCCAUGUCAGACUGAGUACACCAUUUUCUAAGAUCCCAUUUCCACACUACUGGAAAAACCUAUGGCUGUGCUUUGACUGCUCAAGGUGGACAAAGGAAUAUUGCCUUAAAUUAAAGAUAUAUGGCUACCUC